GCGUCGGUAGUGCAACGGUUAGCAUACGCUCCCGGAGAGAGUGAGAUUUUGGUUCGAAUCCCGGCUGACGCA